GCAGUAGCCGCGGUAAAACGAAGGGGGCUAGCGUUGUUCGGAUUUACUGGGCGUAAAGCGCACGUAGGCGGAUCGAUCAGUCAGGGGUGAAAUCCCAGAGCUCAACUCUGGAACUGCCUUUGAUACUGUCGAUCUGGAGUAUGGAAGAGGUGAGUGGAAUUCCGAGUGUAGAGGUGAAAUUCGUAGAUAUUCGGAGGAACACCAGUAGCGAAGGCGGCUCACUGGUCCAUUACUGACGCUGAGGUGCGAAAGCGUGGGGAGCAAACAGGAUUAGAUACCCGCGUAGUCCCUGUCUCUUAUAC
rnacentral:rRNA from 1 species